rnacentral:rRNA from 1 species
CAGUCGCCGCGGUAAUACGUAGGGUGCAAGCGUUAAUCGGAAUUACUGGGCGUAAAGCGUGCGCAGGCGGUUAUAUAAGACAGAUGUGAAAUCCCCGGGCUCAACCUGGGAACUGCAUUUGUGACUGUAUAGCUAGAGUACGGCAGAGGGGGAUGGAAUUCCGAGUGUAGCAGUGAAAUGCGUAGAUAUGCGGAGGAACACCGAUGGCGAAGGCAAUCCCCUGGGCCUGUACUGACGCUCAUGCACGAAAGCGUGGGGAGCAAACAGGAUUAGAGACCCCAGUAGUCCCUGUCUCUUAUAC